rnacentral:rRNA from 1 species
GACGAACCGUCCAAACGUUAUUCGGAAUCACUGGGCUUAAAGGGUGCGUAGGCGGCGCGGAAAGUUGGGUGUGAAAUCCCUCGGCUCAACCGAGGAAUAGCGCCCAAAACUUCCGUGCUCGAGGAAGAUAGAGGUGAGCGGAACUUAGGGUGGAGCGGUGAAAUGCGUUGAUAUCCUAAGGAACACCGGUGGCGAAAGCGGCUCACUGGAUCUUUUCUGACGCUGAGGCACGAAAGCUAGGGUAGCGAACGGG